CCUACGGGAGGCAGCAGUGGGGAAUAUUGCGCAAUGGGCGAAAGCCUGACGCAGCGACGCCGCGUGAGGGAUGAAGGUCUUCGGAUCGUAAACCUCUGUCAGCAGGGAAGAACGGUCACUGUGCUAAUCAGCAGUGAAUUGACGGUACCUGCAAAGGAAGCACCGGCUAACUCCGUGCCAGCAGCCGCGGUAAGACGGCGGGUGCGAGCGAUAAUCGGAAUUACUGGGCGUAAAGCGCUCGUAGGCGGUAUGUCAAGUCAAGGGUGAAAUCCCCGCGCUCAACGGGGGAACUGCCUUUGAAACUGGCAAACUUGAGUGUGUGGAAGGAUAGUGGAAUUCGAGGUGUAGGAGUGAAAUCCGUAGAUAUCUGGAGGAACAUCAGUGGCGAAGGCGACUAUCUGGCACAUAACUGACGCUGAGGAGCGAAAGCGUGGGUAGCAAACAGGAUUAGAUACCCGUGUAGUC
rnacentral:rRNA from 1 species